rnacentral:rRNA from 1 species
UGACCUCAAGUCAUGUGAGAUCACCCGCUGAACUUAAGCAUAUCAAUAAGCGGAGGAAAAGAAACUAACAAGGAUUCCCCUAGUAACGGCGAGUGAAGCGGGAAGAGCACAAAUUUAAAAUCUACCUGGUUUCCAGGUCGAGUUGUAAUUUGAAGAUACGUUUUUGACGUUCCUGGUUGGACUAAAUCCUUUGGGAUAGGGUAUCAUAGAGGGUGAGAAUCCCGUGUAUACCAACCACAGGGAUGUUAUUUAAUAACGUUUCUAAGAGUCGAGUUGUUUGGGAAUGCAGCUCUAAAUGGGUGGUAAAUUUCACCUAAUGCUAAAUAUAAGCGAGAGACCGAUAGCGAACAAGUACAGUGAUGGAAAGAUGAAAAGAACUUUGAAAAGAGAGUUAAAUAGUACGUGAAAUUGUUGAAAGGGAAACGAUUGAAGUCAGUCAUGCCGGCGGGAAUCAACUUAGGGGAAACUCUGGGUGCACUUCUUCGUUUGGCAGGUUAGCGUCGAUUUUGGAUGUCAUAAAAUAAUUGGGGGAAGGUAGCUCCUUCGGGAGUGUUAUAGCCCUUGGUAGAUGUGAUAUUUGGGAUCGAGGAUUGCAACGGAUACCCUUCGGGGCUAGCCGCCUAAUCUCUAAUUGGUGUUGGGUUACGGACAGCAUGCUGACCGUGAUCUAAUUACUGGUUAAAAGGUUAGAGCGUGCAUAAAUUCGUUAAGGACGCUGACGUAAUGGCUUUAAACGACCCGUCUUGAAACACGGACCA